AGCGAACGCUGGCGGCAGGCCUAACACAUGCAAGUCGAACGGACCCUUCGGGGUUAGUGGCGGACGGGUGAGUAACACGUGGGAACGUGCCUUUAGGUUCGGAAUAGCUCCUGGAAACGGGUGGUAAUGCCGAAUGUGCCCUUCGGGGGAAAGAUUUAUCGCCUUUAGAGCGGCCCGCGUCUGAUUAGCUUGUUGGUGGGGUAAUGGCCCACCAAGGCUACGAUCAGUAGCUGGUCUGAGAGGAUGACCAGCCACAUUGGGACUGAGACACGGCCCAAACUCCUACGGGAGGCAGCAGUGGGGAAUCUUGCGCAAUGGGCGAAAGCCUGACGCAGCCAUGCCGCGUGUAUGAUGAAGGUCUUAGGAUUGUAAAAUACUUUCACCGGUGAAGAUAAUGACUGUAGCCGGAGAAGAAGCCCCGGCUAACUUCGUGCCAGCAGCCGCGGUAAUACGAAGGGGGCUAGCGUUGCUCGGAAUUACUGGGCGUAAAGGGAGCGGUAGGCGGACAUUUAAGUCGA
rnacentral:rRNA from 1 species